AUCACAAUCAAUCCCUACUCAAUUUCCUAAAUCAGCUAAUUAACAGAGUAAAACGAGAAAAUUAGAAAAGGGGAAUUUAGGGUUACAUGUGAUGUAACGCUUGAACUUCAUCUCUCUUCUUCUCCCAUGGCCGCGGCGAAUGGCUCAACCUUCUCCGAAUCUCCAGGCGACCGUCGCUCCCUCCGUCUCCUCUCAAAUUCUUAAGUCUUCGUCUCAAUCGACCAUCUCUUCAUUCACUCUCUUCCCUCGCUUCUGAUUCAAAUUGACCGGUCUGGUGCUUCUCUGAUCUCGAAGGUGAAGACAUCGAAAUUAAGCGUAACGAACACAGGUGAAGAAACGGAGAUGAAAUGAAGACGUAGUAAUUUCUUAAUACAGAGAAGUCACAGAUUCAAUUGUGGAGAUCGAUACUGAAGGAUGCAUAAGCAAAGAAGCCUUGUUGAGGGUUGUUGCGUGGAGUUUGUUUGCAAAAGUCUCGAAGAUUGAAUCAUUUAGAGAUUCGGUUACACAGAUGAACAAUGUGAAAUUAACCUCUGAUGAAUUGGUUUUCUGCAGAUUUUCAAAUGAGGAAGUCAAAAGAAGAGUUAUUGAGGAUUGGUGAUAAAUUAGAUUGAAGAUGAAGGUAACGUUUGAUGAAGAUUUGCGGAUAUCUUCCUAUGGUGAUUGAAGAGUGUGAAGGUUUUCGGAUAUUGAAGAAUGUGGAAGAUUGAACAACGAUGAUGAUGAAGGUGUUGAAGUUCUGGUUAUGGUGAUUGAAUUGGAGUAUGAUGAAGAUGAAUGGAGAGAGUAUGGAGAAGAUGAAGAAGCCUGAAUGGAGGAGAGUUUGUUACAAAGUUUGUUAGGAUUUUCGGUUCUCAAUUUCUUUUUUUUCAUUUUCUGCUAGAAUCUUUCUGUUAUAUUCUUCUGAUCAUUUCUCUCCCUUUUUUAUUCUGAUUUCUUUUCUCCUUCUUCUGUUAUAUUGGUUCUGAAUCCUCGUUAUGUCGUAGCAGUGUUACGGAGAACCGGUUUUUUUGGGAGAAGUUGCAGCUCGGAGCACCUUGUAUGGACCAGUUCAUCUUGAAUGCAGGGGCGUUUUUUUUUAAUUUUGGAAUUGUGUUGUAGGCAACUUUUUCUUGUAUGUGGUACAUGCUUUUGGAGCAAGUAAUCCGAUCUUUUAUGAUCCGUGAAGGAAACAUGGUGUAUUGUAAUAUUGCUGCAAGUUUUGAAUUUUGUAAUGAUAGGUUGUAAAGAAAUUUGAACAUUGAAUGGACUUGGACUUUGGUAAUGAAUGGACUAUUCUUGAA